UAGGGAAUCUUCGGCAAUGGACGAAAGUCUGACCGAGCAACGCCGCGUGAGUGAAGAAGGUUUUCGGAUCGUAAAACUCUGUUGUUAGAGAAGAACAAGGACGUUAGUAACUGAACGUCACCUGACGGUAUCUAACCAGAAAGCCACGGCUAACUACGUGCCAGCAGCCGCGGUAAUACGUAGGUGGCAAGCGUUGUCCGGAUUUAUUGGGCGUAAAGCGAGCGCAGGCGGUUUCUUAAGUCUGAUGUGAAAGCCCCCGGCUCAACCGGGGAGGGUCAUUGGAAACUGAGAGACUUGAGUGCAGAAGAGGAGAGUGGAAUUCCAUGUGUAGCGGUGAAAUGCGUAGAUAUAUGGAGGAACACCAGUGGCGAAGGCGGCUCUCUGGUCUGUAACUGACGCUGAGGCUCGAAAGCGUGGGGAGCAAACAGG
rnacentral:rRNA from 1 species